rnacentral:misc_RNA from 1 species
GCCCUUGGAGACUAUGUACACUUACAGAAGGAUCGCGGUAUCAACAAAUGUUAGGCAUCGGCAUCGCUAGCUUCAACACCAAUAUCUCUAUGGCAUUUAUCAGAUCCCUUGCUUGCUACAGAGGCAGCAUUCACAGUUCCUCCAGAGUCGAUGCCCUUAACAACAGUACCAUCAACAAUAUCUGACUGGCUGGUAUCACUUUUUCCAGUUGCAGCACUUUUCUGAAGGCGUUCAACUAGAUGAAACCAAAUUAUGUCUCAACGAUUUUUCCUCAUGAGAACCAGCUUCUUGAAUUGUAGCCUCUAUAGGUGGUGGUUUGUCACUGUGACUCAAACGUUGAUGAGGAAUUUAGCUGUGAUUCUAACUCUAUCAUGUUGUCAACUGCACUUGGAUCACGACCACAAUCAGGAUUAUGUAUCUCCUCAUCAUUCACCCCAUUUAAUGAGAAAGCAUUAUUAAUAGAGCAAUGGUUCUCAGCCUUGCUUCCAUUUUCACUUUCUAGCUCUGUCGCUUCAUGCUCCAUGGUACCUGAAGUUGGAAUCAUGCCAAUCAUCUGUGGCUCAACAGCCUUGGAUAAUGAUGGGGAGGCCUUGUUAUAUACCAUAACAGCAUCUGAUGUAUUAGUGAUUACUGAUAGCUCAGAACCAUUGCUGCAAACAUUAUUUUGAUUAGUGACACUUUGCCCCAUAAACUCCGCCAGAGAUGGAGGAAUAUCCAUGGAUGGUGGUUCCAUAUGCACUAUGCUAUCAUGUUCAAGCCCAACUUGAUCAGUCAACACUUCAUCUUUAGGAGGGCUCUUGCUUAUGCUGGGACCUGUAUCAUUUACAGUCUUGCCUCUAUUUUCCAUGAAUACAUCAUCAGUCACAACGUCCUCAAAUAAGCAUAACCUGGGUGAAGGAAUACAAUUAGAUGAUGGGUCAACAUCCAUCUCAGUGCAAGUAGUUUCUUCUCCAAUACUCUCACAAAAAUCACCUGUAACACCACCACGACCCUUGUCUCCAUCCCCACAAUCAUCUCUAUUAUGGGAUGAUACAUCUUCAUUAAUUAAAUGACACUCAUUCACCAAUUCUCUAUCAUGAUU